UCUUGUUUCAAAUUGACUAUUCUUUGAACGAAAACAAGACUUGUUACUUGUUAGCUUCUUCUUGAUGGAAAUUUCCAGCGAAGGUUACAAGGAAAAAGAC